GCAGAGAGCCCCGGCUGAAGAGAUCACCUACGAGACGCUGAAAAAAGCCAUCGCGGACAGCGUGGCGUCGGAGGAGCAGGAGCGCGAGCGCCGUCGCAGCUGCUGCAGCGCUUCCAGCGCGCCCCGUUCGAGGAGCUCGCCGCCCACUGCGGGGCCCGGGCGUCGCUGCUGCAGAGCAAACUGAACCAGAUCCUGCAGAUCAACGUCCGGCCGCCUCCGAGUCCGUCGGGCGCCGUCUCGGCCGUGCUGGGCCCGUCCCAAUCCCAACAAUCCCAACAUUCCCAACAAUCCCAACAUUCCCAACAAUCCCAACAAUCCAACCCCAAUCCCAGCCGCACUCCAUCCCCGUGUACGAGAUGAAAUUCCCGGAUCUCUGCGUCUACUGAACCUUCCGGAAGCGCCGCCGAUUCCCAAAAAUCCCCCCAA